GAAAGCGUGGGUAGCGANCAGGAUUAGAUACCCUGGUAGUCCACGCCGUAAACGAUGAGUGCUAGGUGUUAGGCCCUUUCCGGGGCUUAGUGCCGGAGCUAACGCAAUAAGCACUCCGCCUGGGGAGUACGACCGCAAGGUUGAAACUCAAAGGAAUUGACGGGGGCCCGCACAAGCGGUGGAGCAUGUGGUUUAAUUCGAAGCAACGCGAAGAACCUUGCCAGGUCUUGACAUCCCGAUGCUAUUCUUAGAGAUAGGAAGUUACUUCGGUACAUCGGAGACAGGUGGUGCAUGGUUGUCGUCAGCUCGUGUCGUGAGAUGUUGGGUUAAGUCCCGCAACGAGCGCAACCCUUAUUGUUAGUUGCCAUCAUUAAGUUGGGCACUCUAGCGAGACUGCCGGUAAUAAACCGGAGGAAGGUGGGGAUGACGUCAAAUCAUCAUGCCCCUUAUGACCUGGGCUACACACGUGCUACAAUGGUCGGUACAACGAGUUGCGAGCCGGUGACGGCAAGCUAAUCUCUGAAAGCCGAUCUCAGUUCGGAUUGGAGGCUGCAACUCGCCUCCAUGAAGUCGGAAUCGCUAGUAAUCGCGGAUCAGCACGCCGCGGUGAAUACGUUCCCGGGCCUUGUACACACCGCCCGUCACACCACGAGAGUUUGUAACACCCGAAGUCGGUGAGGUAACCUUUUA
rnacentral:rRNA from 1 species